rnacentral:tRNA from 1 species
UGCCCGUGGGGCUCCGGAUUGAGCCAGUAGGCGUGCCGAGCCUGCGCCGCGAGCCGCCGGAGCGUGUCCAGCGCGGGCGGC